UACGAAGGUGGCAAGCGUUGUUCGGAUUUACUGGGCGUACAGGGAGCGUAGGCGGUUGGAUAAGCCCUCCGGGAAAUCUCCGGGCUUAACCCGGAAAGGUCAGCCGAUACUGCGGGGCUAGAGUGCAGAAGGGGCAACUGGAAUUCUCGGUGUAGCGGUGAAAUGCGUAGAUAUCGAGAGGAACACCUGCGGCGAAGGCGGGUUGCUGGGCUGACACUGACGCUGAGGCGCGAAAGCUGGGGGAGCGAACGGG
rnacentral:rRNA from 1 species